rfam:Enterococcus hirae ATCC 9790, complete genome.
UAAUAGACAUAGAAAAAGGACGUGCUGGUAACACGUCCUGUGUAGAACCGUUAAAAAGACGGUGACGAAACUUUAAUGUUUGAUUAAAUA